rnacentral:lncRNA from 1 species
CUUCCCUCUGCCACACCCCCGAUCCAAAGAGUUAGUACACUGCUGUCACGGUACCAUUUUCCCCUGUUGUAGAAACCUCCACCACCCACCAAAGAUCAGUUUUCCUCCAGUUUUCUUUCAUGCUCACUAAAAUGAUUGGCAAUGUGCACUGACCACAGUUACUUAAUCAGUCUCCUAGGUCUCUUUUUAUAUAGUUCUUGGCGUUCUCAAAGCAAGUAUAUUGGAGUGGUUUGCCAUUCCCUCCUCCAUCACUGAUUCAAUGGACAGGGACUUGGGAAAACUCUAGGAGAUGGUGAGGGGCAGGGAAACCUGGUGUGCUGCAGUCCAUAAGGUCACAAAAAGUUGGACAUGACUUGGUGCCUGAACAACAGCAACAAUUCCUAGGUCUCCGGGUCCAGAGCUGGCCUUCGGGUCCAUAUUUCGUCCAUCCUCACUUCCUCAAGCCAACUACUCUCAAGUUAUGCCUGUUCUUCCAAGAGUCUUGAUUUCCCGAUGUGGUAUUUAACCUUUUUGUUUUACAAAGAGCUGGUCUUGAAGCUUCUCACUUUAAAGACAACUCUCGGGGUUUACUUUACGAAGCCAACCAGAAGUUAUUUUCUAUGUUUAUUAAUUCAUCCCCUUCAACUUCCCUCACAAUGGGUCCUUUUCAAGGUUUUAACUAUAAGCAUUAAAUUACCCUCCUGACAUCCCUUUCCUCCUCCCCCCAGGAAUGCUUGGAAAGGAAUCCAAUUGUGGGCAGAUGUUAGGUCUUUCUCAAAAGCAUUCUGUGUCAAAUAACAAGUACCCAGUUGUAAUUCAAACAGAACACUAAUAGUGAUUUAUAUGUUAAGCAAGAGUGGUAAUUAUUGGCUUUGAAAGCAUAUCAUAAUGACUCUUUACAGUUGUUCUUAUAUUUUAUUAUUCUUCCUUUCUUAUUCUCUAGUCAGUGUUCUUAAUUAUACUGCUCCAGAAAAAUACACUGGGAGAAAAUACUGCAAAAAACAUGAGAUGGUGAAAUAUCCUGGCCACCAGAGCAUCCGGAUAAGAUUUGAUCAUACGCUACAUCUGCAAUGGAUUUUCAAUCGUCCACUUCGGUUGAAUGAGCCAAUGCUUCAUUUUCUUCUGUGUAUGUGAUGUAGUGUAACCUGAACCCAGCGGUAUAAUCAGCAGGAAAGGAAACCCAAAGAAUCUUGAGAGAACUCAUGAAGGAUAUGAAGCAGACAAGUGAGAUGAUCUGAUUAGAUUUUAGAAAGAUCAACUUUUGGCUGGAUAAAGCUGAGACUAAAAGCAGAGUGGCAAACUACUGCAGUGGUCCAUGCAAAAAAAAAAAAAAAAGUGGUAUCUUGAAGUAUGCAAGCAGCAAAGCGAAGGACAGACACUUGGGGGUAGGUGAGUCAAUGGAGUUAUGGACAGUCCAAGUCCUGGGCCUCAUUCUACACUGUCAAAAAGCACAUGGCAAUUUUCUGGAUAGAGAAGAAUAAUCAAUAAUAGUGAUCACUAAUGUUUA